UUUUGAUCCAACUCGGUGCAGAAGGCUUGACAACCGGCCGAGGUGCGAUGAAUUUCUCAGUGAGAAUCCCGAGGGAUACCUUGGGAGAGGAGCUGCUGUAUAUCAGCGAUGAUAUGCGGGAAGGCAGAAACUGCCAACAGGAAAGUCGCAGCACCGUGUGAUAGUGAGAUAAAAGUUACUGGACUCGUGGGGCGGGCAAUAGACGCUCCAGUGGAGAAUAAUCCUGUAUGCCUUAUCACUGGCAGGAUAAUGAAACAGCAGGAAAGCCACCAACCGUCCGAGAGUUGAUGUCAGGAAACUGGCUAUAACACGAGAAACAGGUGCGAGUAGCCUAAACUCUCAGCAAGAAAUCGGUCUUUGUCAACCGAUAGACAGUCAUGCUGAAGUUAAGUGAAAGAUAUGGGCGCCAAUCCCAUGUGGUCACGGCGAAAGCGGUGUGGAAAUGCCAGGGGUCGCUCCCCGAAGCACAGCGUCACAUCACCACUGAACGAAUAUUAUCGAGGAUCAUA
rnacentral:sRNA from 1 species